UGCGUUAAUUCAAAUUUAAGCGCACUUUCGUAUGCGCAGUACUGAGGGAGUCAAUGUGCAUCACAUCUGCAAGUCGUACAUACAGUUAAUUGUUUAUACUAUAAAUCUGAUUCUUAAUGCAUAAGUUUACUUUGAAAAAAAUCACCUGUUGAAGUGCAAGUGAUAAGGAAAUCAAGAGAGAUUGUGGAAGAAGUGCCGCAAUGACUGAAGAAAUUGGGAUGCGAAUCCUGGUAACCGAUAAGGGCCCCCCUCUGUCGCAUUUUGUAAAAUGUUUACGACGAGAGUGCCUUUUUUACUUGGUUUGCUGAUGACUAGCUAUCCUUGUUCCUAAAGAUGGCAGGUGUCGGAGAAGAGAUGUCAACAACGAGGGUAUUAACAGUGGAGAUCGGUUCUCAAUCCUUGGCAGCAAGCCAAAUGGAAGUUGUAAAGUUGGUAGCCCUGCCACGGGUAAAGGUUUAGUCAAACUGACGCAGUGGAACUGUUUGUACAGCUAA